UGGUGGAGUGAUUUGUCUGGUUAAUUCCGAUAACGAACGAGACCUUAACCUGCUAAAUAGUUACACUAACCUCUGGUUGGUGGUCAUACUUCUUAGAGGGACUUUCGGUGUUUAACCGAAGGAAGUUUGAGGCAAUAACA
rnacentral:rRNA from 1 species